AUAAUAUUUAACGUCUUUAUUUUUCUUUCUAAUUCGUCCUUUCUCUUAUUUAUUGCAUGUUUUUCUAGGGACAUGUGUGGACAGGCUGAAAAAAUGACCUCAAGUGAUCAAAUAUGAAACAAAUACCCUUAAAAAACGAUAUAAACGAUCUCAAACAAGUUGUUGUUCACAUAGUGUUUUCAUGGCUUGUGCAGUUCCUUUAUCACAUUGUAUUUUUUUAACAGCUGAAUAAUUUAAAUAAAUUAUGACAGAACAUGAAAACUAGACCAAAACAACCAUACAUGUGCAACUUUCAUUUCAUUGUUUAGAAAAGCUCUGAGCAGAUGAAGUUCCAGAUCAGCAGAACCAGAACAGUGGAUUGGUUCUGGUGGUGGACCAUGCGGAGUACAAGAAGUACGGCAGCAGGAAGACUGUGGGCCUCAGAGGUCAGGUGGGGGUCCGCUCUGACCCCGAGGUGGGGGCCUGAGGAGGAGGGGUGGAUGUCGAGGCCGCAGAGGGUGGUGCUGGUGACGGAGGGUGACCGGGUCGGGCGUGGAGGACCAACAAGGAUGGCUUCCGUUCUGGAGCUAUUGAGUAGCAGGAAGUGAGCCGUCAUCCAGGCCUUUGUCUCCUCCAGGCCGGCGCAGAGUGUGGAUAGGGCUGCAGAGGGGGGGGGCUUUGUUUUGACGUGGAGUUGGGUGUCAUCAGCGUAGCAGUCGAAAGUCAUUCAAUGCCGACGCGCGCGUCCGGUUCAUGGAGACGGGGCGGUAGUUGGCAGGUGCUGCGGGGUCAGAGCUGGGCUUUCUGGGUAGUGGCCUGAUGGAAGGAGUUCUCAGAGGCGUGGGGUCGCGGCCGGGCCGGGGGGACUGGUUGAUGGUUUGGGGGAUCAUGGGACUCACUGCAGUGACUUCCUAUCAGGGCUGAGGGAGAGGGGUCCAGGUCCCAGGGGGAGGGCUUCGUCUUGCUUAGGAUGGGUGAGGGUUCGGGUUCUGAGUGAUGUCCGUGGAACAGCAAAGGAGCUGAGUGGUCCCGGACUGAGGGUCUGCGGAUGAGACUGGAGAUGGAGGAGGGGGGGGGGGGGGGGCUGGGGAGAAGA